rnacentral:misc_RNA from 1 species
ACACCACUGCGAGUUUGUUCAAUAUCUGGAAGUAACGAUCAAGCAACAAUUCCAACUGUUGCAAAUUGACGAAUUCGAGCUAGCCGCCAUCAAAACGUUGCUCCUGCUUUCAUGCUCCUAUCCAAAACCGGAAAUAUUCGCCGAGUUUAAAGGCACCAUGCAGAAGCUCAAGAACAAGUGCUUUGCCGAGCUGAUGUCCUACCUGACUGUGAAGCUUCCGGCGACACACGCCGAACGAUUUGGAAAGCUGAUUUUGGUGAUGGGCGAGAUUCGGGCGGCGGUGAAGGUUCUGUAUAACCAUACAAAAGUCUCCGAUUUGUUUGAUCCAUCUAAAUUUAAUAUGUUUGUUCGGAGCUUUUUAUUGACUUGA